CUCGAUAGAAUACGCCUUCUCAAUUUUCCGUUUGUUGUUUUAGUUGUAGAUUUUGUCUUGCAGUCUGUCGGCUUAAAUGGGCAUAUAUAACUUCAGUAGUUUACAAUCGAAUCAAUCUCGAAAGAUGGACUUCAAGCUUCUACUUCUCGUCGUUCUUAUCAGCUAUGUGCUUGGCCAAACUGAGGGUGUUGCCCGACGUCGUUAUUAUGCUCCAUCUCGGGGGUUCGUAGGACAUGCAGAAAUAGUCAAUCCCAACAGCGUUUACGACGAGUUGGAUCACUACAUCUUGUGGCAUACAGAUUGGAAGGGAUGAAAAGUGUGAUGUUUGUUUGUGUUUUUAAAGUUAAUCAUGGUGACUAAUUCGCGAUCCGUGUGAAGCUUUUAUCGCGAGAUCGACCUAUCUGAUUAUUGCUGAAAUACAAAAAAAAAAACGAUUAUUGUA